GGCAGACAUCACCUUCCUACAGAGCAGAACAGGACAGGAGGAAAAGCUCAACUGAAAGUUUUGUCUGGCCAGACUGGACCCAAAUACAGGACUGAAGACAGGCAGGCAUGCAGUGGAUCUUGAUGUUCUAGAAAACUAGAGGACAGAGGAAAAUCAGACUUACAUUGGAGAUGCUGCUGUCCUAGAAAUCACAGAAAUAAAAGCCACUGAGUUGCCCUUCCUGUCCCCGAUCCUGACCUACUCCACUGGAUUUGGACCUCCUGGCUUUUGACCCUCCAUCUGUCUGACCCUGAGAUCUGGAACCGCCUGACCUGGAUUUGGAUUCCCUGGCUCUGACCCUGGCCUGUCUGACUGUGAAAAUGCUGACCCCUUAAUAAACACCUGUUCUGUAUUCACAGGUCAGUCCCUGCGUCCAUCAGUGCCUGGAUUGUGUCAACAAGUCCAAGAUUUUAUUUUUUUAAAAAAUCGAUCGCCAUUAAUUUUGUUGUCAAAAUGGCCUCCAAACUGUUCUUUUUAAAUCUUUUAAUAUUACAGUCCAAAAUCCAUGGAUCUUGUACUUUAUUCUGAGUGUUUAGAAACUUUCACCAUCUCUGGUUUGUAAGAAUUUACAAUUUGUAAAGAUUUCAAAUUGAUUUCUGUACAUAUGCAAAAGUUUAGAUGAUUUUCUGUUUUUUUUUUGCAGCUAUUUUUUGAGUUAAGAUGAAAAUGCAUUUGGCUUACUGAAUGUUAUGUUUCCUAGAGUUGCCAAGAAAAAGGGGUCCUUGUUGUUCCAAAUGUAAACCGCAGGAAAACACUGAAUAGUCAUGGACUACUUAUUCAAAAAGACACUUUAAUCAACAAAGAAAGGAAAGUAUAAAUUACAAGUGUUAUUGCUGUGCUUAUGAAAGGACUUUGAGUGGCCAACAAUGUGAAGAAGAAACUACGUACAAUACACGUUUAAUGACAUUCUAAAUAUAAUAAAAAUGGCCACACAAAGAUCAGCUUCAUU